CGUUUGGGGGAACAUGCGGAGGACAUUA
rnacentral:rRNA from 1 species